CCAAACUUUUAUCGUUUUUAUUGAACUAAUCAUAUCAGAGACUGUGUUUAAAAUGGAGUAAACAUCACUGCUGUCGUGCUUAGAUUUUUUUAUCGUGAGUUAUGUUUACCUCACGUGAUCUGCUAACUGUCAAGCGGUUGGUCGUCUUUUCAUCACUUAUGCAGUUGUCAUGUCGCAUUUCUACACUUGUUAAUGAUGGCCUUUGCCAAAUGUUUACAGUAUGGAUCGUGAAUUUAGAAAUUUAUUGAAGAAAAUUUACUUCAGUAACUUGUUUAAGUGCUAAUCUUUAUUCGGAGCAGAUCGGAAUGAGACACUUGCCCUAUAUUAUAUGGUGUGUGAAUUUAAGGAGGCACACACAGUUAGCUUUCACCUUUUAUUAAUGUUUUAAAUCUGGAUUUUGUUGGCUGCGUUGUCACAUUGUUGGUUGAAAAAGAUCUUCCACGCUUUAUCUCAGUUGGCUCUGUAUGUCAAAAACCUUGCGUCCCUUUGUGAUGGGUUUGUGGUUUGUCCUGGGUGGUGACCAUUGUUCUUGGCAAAAAUCCUCCAGUAUUUGCUCGAGUUGCAUGAACUUCACGUUUUUUCUUAACAACAGUGGUUAGAGUAUGUCGAGGUCCAGCUUUACUGACUUUAGGAUGAAUUAGGGAUUAACUAUCACUGAAGGAUGCACUUGAUGAGGCACCAUGUAAUGUUAUAAAAGUGUUUUAGGAUUAUAUUUAACCUGCAGUAAAGACCACAUUAAAUUGACUAUUGUAAUGCAUACAUUUGGCAUAAUCUGCAAAAAGAGGACUUAUGAUAAACCUUUGAGACUACAUUUUAUUUUGUUAUUAAUUUGGUUAUUAUAUUAAGGAAAUAUCAUAUUCAUAAAUGUCGGCGGUUUCCCGGACAGGGAUUAGACUAGUCCUAGACUAAAAUAAAUGUAAGAGCUGUCAAAACUGAAAACAUCUUGCAUCUUAAAAUACAUCAGUGCCCUUUGUUUUGUAAUGUUUUAGUAAGACAUGUUUGUUAAAACUAGUUAUAUUUUUUAAUUAAACCUAGUCCUGGUUUAAGCUAAUCCCUGUCCGGUAAACCACCCCCCUUGUUUUUUACAAUUUAAAUUGGAGUUAUGUCUUAAAGUAAUGGAAUGUGUAAGGAACUCUAAAUCAGUGGUUCUCAACUCCAGUCCUCUGGACCCGCUGCUCUGCACAUUUUGGAUGUCUCUUAUAUCUGACACAUUCAGUUCAGUUCAUGGAAUCUAUCCUAACGAGCUGAUGAUCUGAAUCAGGUGUGUUAAAUAAGGGAGACAUGUGCUGCGUCCGAAACCACCUACUACAUACUAUAUAGUACGCGAAAAGCAGUAGGCGAGGCGAGUAGUAUGUCCGAAUACAUAGUAUUUGAAAAACAGUAUGCGAAAAGUACCCGGAUGACCUACUACUUCCGGUUAGAUUUUGCAGUGUGCAUACGAUGGACGCUUCACUAUCCCAUGAUGCCCCGGACGAGGAGUUAUCCAACGAAGAAGAGGCACGCGGCUGUUUUCGCGCUGAAAUGACAUGACGUGAUGACGACGUAUGUCACGUGAUGUGGCAACAUGGCGGAUGUAGUACGUCCGAAUCUCAUUCAUACUACCAGGAUUCAUACUAUACAGUACCUACUGUUUUAACGCCAAGUAAGUAGGUACUUCAUCUAAUUCAGUACCUACUAUACAGUAUGCGGUUUCGGAUGCAGCCAUGCACAAUAUGCAGAGCAGUGGGUCCCGAGGACUGGAGUUGAGAACCACUGCUCUAAAUCAAAAAAGCCUAUAGAGGGUAUGCAUUGACGUCACUUUUCCACGUGACCACGCCGGAGCUCGCCCAAUUGCUUAAUCAAAUGGAUGAAUGAAAGACAGCUUUUAAAUAUCGUGAAGUUUUCUAGCUAAAAAUUGCACAUGAAUGCCUUCUGAUGUCCUUUUCACCUUUUCAGAGCCUGCUCACGUCAUGCCUGCCAAGCCAGAGCCAGCUCGGUGCCGGCCAAUCCAGACCCUGUUCAGUGCCUGCCAAGCCACAGCCUGCUCAGUGCCUGCCAAGACAGAGCCUGCUCUGUGCCCACCAUGUCAGAGCCUGCUCUGUGCCUGCCAAGCCUGAGCCUGCUCAGUGCCUGACAAGCUAAAGCCUGCUCAGUGCCUGACAAGCUAAAGCCUGCUCUGUGCCUGCCAUGCCAGAACCUGCUCAGUGCCUGCCAAGCCAGAGCCUGCUAAGUUACUGCCAUGCCAGAGCCAGGGCCUGCUCAGUGCCUGCUAAGCCAGAGUUUGCUCAGUGCCUACCAAGCCAGAACCAUCUCAGUGCAUACCAAGCCAGAGCCUUCCCAAUGCCUGCCAAGCCAGAGCCUGCUCAGUGCCUGCCAAGCCAGAGCCUGCUCAGUGCCUGCCAAGCCAGAGCCUGCUCAGUGCAUGCAAAGCCAGAGCCUGCUCAGUGUCUGCAAAGCCUGGGCCUGUGCCUGCCAGAGCCUGUCCAGUGGCUGCUUUGCCAAGCCAGAGCCUGCUCACGUCAUGCCUGCCAAGCCAGAGGCUGCUCACAUCAUGCCUGCACAGCCAGAGCCUGUUCACCUUUUGCCUGCCAAGCCUACUUACUAAAGGUAAAAAAGGUGCAAGGUAAGUGAAGGUAAAAAUGGUGCAAGGUAAGUGAAGGUAAAAAAAGGUGCGAGGUAAGUGAAGGUAAAAAUGGUGCAAGGUAAGUGAAGGUAAAAAAGGUGCAAGGUAAGUGAAGGUAAAAAUGGUGCAAGGUAAGUGAAGGUAAAAAAGGUGCGAGGUAAGUGAAGGUAAAAAAGGUGCAAGGUAAGUGAAGGGUAAAAAGGUGCGAGGUAAGUGAAGGUAUAAAAACAAAAAAGGUGCGAGGUAAGUGAAGGUAUAAAAACAAAAAGGUGCGGGGUAAGUGAAGGUAACAAAAAAAGGUGCGAGGUAAGUGAAGGUAUCAAAUAAAGGUGCGAGGUAAGUGAAGGUAUAAAAAAGGUGCGAGGUAAGUGAAGGUAUAAAAAACAAACUAAAACAAAACAAACAAAAAGGUGCGAGGUAAGUGAAGGUAAAAAACAAAAAGGUGCGAGGUAAGUGAAGGUAACAAAAAAGGUGCAAGGUAAGUGAAGGUAUAAAAACAAAAAGGUGCGGGGUAAGUGAAGGUAACAAAAAAAGGUGCGAGGUAAGUGAAGGUAUAAAAAAGUUGCGAGGUAAGUGAAGGUAUAAAAAAACAAAAAAAGGUGCGAGGUAAGUGAAGGUAUAAAAAACAAAAAAAAGUGCGAGGUAAGUGAAGGUAACAAAACAAACUAAAACAAAACAAACAAAAAGGUGCGAGGUAAGUGAAGGUAACAAAAAAACAAAAAGGUGCGAGGUAAGUUAAGGUAUAAAAACAAAAAAAGGUGCGAGGUAAGUGAAGGUAUAAAAAAACAAACAAAAAGGUGCGAGGUAAGUGAAGGUAACAAAAAAAGGUGUGAGGUAAGUGAAGGUAUCAAAAAAAGGUGCGAGGUAAGUGAAGGUAUAAAAAACAAAAAAAGGUGCGAGGUAAGUGAAGGUAUAAAAAAGGUGUGAGGUAAGUGAAGGUAUAAAAAAGGUGCAAGGUAAGUAAAGGUAUAAAAA